UGAGGGCACUCAAGUAGACAGUGGAAAAACUCAUGUGAAAAGGGACCAAGGCCUCCUGACAACAGUCAGCACCAACUUGCAGCCAUGAAUGGCAUGUGGAAUUUGAUUCAAAAUAAUCUAGAAGGAGCAAGUAGAGCAAGUACAAACAAAAGACUACUGUCUACGAGGUGAUAACUGUUCAAGCUGAGAUAUGGAUACAUAAUCGAAUGAAACCAGCCUCUUCCAGGCACAGGAGACUCCUAGACGUGCCGGUGGCGUUCGGCCGGUGUCUGAGCAAC